UUUUAUUUAAAUAAUCGAGUUUUUCAUUUUCUACUACAAAAUAUAAUUUUGUUGUUGUUGCGCUUAUAAACGCUGCUAAAACGCGCGCGCUUUAAAACGUCGACCGCCUGGAACAGUUACUGCGCAAAGUUAAUGCACAUUGUCGGCCAGUGUUGAAAAGCGCGUGUCUGACUUUUAAAAUGUUUUUAGAAUAUUCAUUACUUUGACGCUGUCGUAAUUUCAUUCAAAUUUACUCUAAACUCGAUUCGUUUAUGUUCUUGAUAUAUUUUUUGGUUUUCUUUUUUCAUCAUAAAAGUUGUUGGCCAUUAGGCCACAGAGGGCGCCACUGGCAAUUGCAUUUUGCUCAAGAAUUUGCAUUGAUUUAAGUAAAUAAUUGUUAACAUAUUUUGCUCUACGUUUAUUUUGUUGCUUACACUUCUACACGCCGAUAUUCAUUUUGAUUCAUUUACCUUUCAAAACCAUUUGAAGUGUCUUUGAUUUAAGUUUGCACAUUUAGUUAUUUCUCUCCUGAACUCUACCCUUUGUCCUCUCAUCUUUUGUGUGUGUUGCGUAACGUUUCAUUAAACAUGGAAAUGGAUUGAUUGGAUUUCAUUUUAACUACGACACUAUGUAAAAUACUUGGUUAGGUUAUUUUAAAUGUUAGCUUUAGUUGGUUGACUAUUUUAUUUAGAAUUUAUUUGCUGUUGCUGCUAAAAACGUUUUUACUACUACUUUUUCAAUUCUAGUUUAAUUUGAGUUUAACUAUUCAUUCGUUUCGAUUUGCUUCAAAAAUGUUUAUUAUUGUAUCAACUAUAUGCUCUAAAUCUCCUCCGGGUGGAAUUUCUACUCACCCCCUCUCCUGGUGGUGUUUCCAUGAUUUAGUUUUAUCUUUUAUGAAUUCGUUCGAUUUCGUAUGACAAAUUUUGGGUUCUGGGACAGCAGCGACACUGAAAUCAUAAAAGUAUUUUAAUAUAGAAGAACAUAAAUGAAAUAAAUAUGAAACAAGAGCAAACGAUACGGUAUAAAUGAUUUAAA